rnacentral:rRNA from 1 species
UACAGAGGUCUCAAGCGUUUGUUCGGAUUCAUUGGGCGUAAAGGGUGCGUAGGCGGCGCGGUAAGUCGGGUGUGAAAUCUCGGAGCUUAACUCCGAAACUGCAUUCGAUACUGCCGUGCUUUGAGGACUGGAGAGGAGACUGGAAUUUACGGUGUAGCGGUGAAAUGCGUAGAUAUCAGGAGGAACACCGGUGGCGAAGGCGGGGUCUCUGGGCCGAUACUGACGCUGAGGAGCGAAAAGCGUGGGGGAGCGAACAGGG